rnacentral:rRNA from 1 species
GACGAACGCUGGCGGCGUGCUUAACACAUGCAAGUGGAGCGACGAACCAGGGCUUGCCCUGGGGCAGAGCCGCGAACGGGUGAGUAACACGUGGGUUACCUACCCCGAUGACCGGGACAACCCGAGGAAACCCGGGCUAAUACCGGAUGUGGUCUUCGGACGAAAGGAAGCUUCGGCCUCCGCAUCGGGAUGGGCCCGCGGCGCAUUAGCUUGUUGGUGGGGUAACGGCCUACCAAGGCGACGAUGCGAGCUGGUCUGAGAGGACGAUCAGCCACACUGGGACUGAGACACGGCCCAGACUCCUACGGGAGGCAGCAGUGGGGAAUCUUGCGCAAUGGGCGAAAGCCUGACGCAGCGACGCCGCGUGAGGGAUGACGGCCU